AUAGCGUAUAUUAAAGUUGUUGUGGUUAAAAAGCUCGUAGUUGAACCUUGGGCCUGGCUGGCCGGUCCCCCUCACCGGGUGCACUGAUCCAGCCGGGCCUUUCCCUCUGUGGAACCUCAUGGCCUUCACUGGCUGUGCUGGGGAAACAGGACUUUUACUUUGAAAAAAUUAGAGUGCUCCAGGCAGGCCUAUGCUCGAAUACAUUAGCAUGGAAUAAUAGAAUAGGACGUGUGGUUCUAUUUUGUUGGUUUCUAGGACCGCCGUAAUGAUUAAUAGGGACAGUCGGGGGCAUCAGUAUUCAAUUGUCAGAGGUGAAAUUCUUGGAUCUAUUGAAGACUAACUACUGCGAAAGCAUUUGCCAAGGAUGUUUUCAUUGAUAAGGAACGAAAGUUAGGGGAUCGAAGACGAUCAGAUA
rnacentral:rRNA from 1 species